UAGGGAAUCUUCGGCAAUGGACGAAAGUCUGACCGAGCAACGCCGCGUGAGUGAAGAAGGUUUUCGGAUCGUAAAACUCUGUUGUUAGAGAAGAACAAGGACGUUAGUAACUGAACGUCCCCUGACGGUAUCUAACCAGAAAGCCACGGCUAACUACGUGCCAGCAGCCGCGGUAAUACGUAGGUGGCAAGCGUUGUCAGGAUUUAUUGGGCGUAAAGCGAGCGCAGGCGGUUUCUUAAGUCUGAUGUGAAAGCCCCCGGCUCAACCGGGGAGGGUCAUUGGAAACUGGGAGACUUGAGUGCAGAAGAGGAGAGUGGAAUUCCAUGUGUAGCGGUGAAAUGCGUAGAUAUAUGGAGGAACACCAGUGGCGAAGGCGGCUCUCUGGUCUGUAACUGACGCUGAGGCUCGAAAGCGUGGGGAGCAAACA
rnacentral:rRNA from 1 species